rnacentral:rRNA from 1 species
UACGGGGGGGGGCAAGCGUUGUUCGGAAUUACUGGGCGUAAAGGGCGCGUAGGCGGUGCUCUAAGUCGGAUGUGAAAACUCUGGGCUCAACCCAGAGCCUGCAUCCGAAACUGGAGUGCUAGAGUUCUGGAGGGGGUAGCGGAAUUCCUGGUGUAGCGGUGAAAUGCGUAGAUAUCAGGAAGAACACCAACGGCGAAGGCAGCUCGCUGGGACGGUACUGACGCUGAGACGCGAAAGCGUGGGGAGCGAACAGG